rnacentral:snRNA from 1 species
UUCUUAUAUUUACGUAACUGAUU